GGGACCCGCACAAGCGGUGGAUGAUGUGGAUUAAUUCGAUGCAACGCGAAGAACCUUACUACCCUUGACAUGUCCGGAACUUGCCAGAGAUGGCUUGGUGCCCGAAAGGGAAUCGGAACACAGGUGCUGCAUGGCUGUCGUCAGCUCGUGUCGUGAGAUGUUGGGUUAAGUCCCGCAACGAGCGCAACCCUUAUCAUUAGUUGCUACGCAAGGGCACUCUAAUGAGACUGCCGGUGACAAACCGGAGGAAGUGGGGAUGACGUCAAGUCCUCAUGGCCCUUAUGGGUAGGGCUUCACACGUCAUACAAUGGUCGGUAUAGAGGGUUGCCAAGCCGCGAGGCGGAGCCAAUCCCACAAAGCCGAUCGUAGUCCGGAUUGUUCUCUGCAACUCGAGAGCAUGAAGUCGGAAUCGCUAGUAAUCGCAGGUCAGCAUACUGCGGUGAAUACGUUCCCGGGUCUU
rnacentral:rRNA from 1 species